UCACCCUGUCUUACUUGAUCUCACUCUCUCCACCUCUCUCUCUGAGGGAAGCCAGAUGCCAUGUUGCAAGAUUUCCUCUGGAGAGGGCCUCUUGGCAAGGAACUGAUGUCUCUGGCCAGCAGCCAGCGAGGACCUAAGAUCUGUCAACAGCCAUGCAGAAGGGACAAUGAAUUGUGACUCGGAAAUUAAUCAGAUGAGACCUGAUGACUGAAGUACAUCACAGAGCUAGGAAGAGAGAUUACUAAGCAACACGCCCUUUUUUUCAGACAUCUCAGUUGACAACCUGAGCAAUAGCUCUGACCUGGAAGCAUCCAGCUUUGUAGCCAAAGAGAAAAAGCG
rnacentral:lncRNA from 10 species